AAAGACUGCAGUGUUUAUGUCCAACGUUUGACCGUCUGUCUUAUUUUGAGAAAUUUUAUUAUUAGUAUUUUAUUUGUUAUUAGAUGAUAAAAUAUGAAUAGUCCUCUAUUUGUGACUAAUUUUUAUUAAAAAAAUUUAUAAAAUUUUCAAAUAAGACGAACAGUCAAAUAUUAGACACAAAAAUUCAUAAGUGCACUUAUA
rnacentral:pre_miRNA from 1 species